rnacentral:rRNA from 1 species
UACAGAGGGGGCAAGCGUUGUUCGGAAUUACUGGGCGUAAAGGGCGCGUAGGCGGCCUGCUAAGUCGAACGUGAAAUCCCCGGGCUCAACCCGGGAACUGCGUCCGAGACUGGAAGGCUCGAAUCCGGGAGAGGGAUGUGGAAUUCCAGGUGUAGCGGUGAAAUGCGUAGAUAUCUGGAGGAACAUCGGUGGCGAAGGCGGCAUCCUGGACCGGUAUUGACGCUGAGGCGCGAAAGCCAGGGGAGCAAACGGG